UAUGAGGUCAAUGACAGGCCAGCUUUGGAGGCCGAUCCUCAUCUCUAUGACCAUAGAGUGUUGGGUCCAAAGCAAGAGCUUUUCUUUUGUCACCACCUCAGGAAAAAGGAAUGACUGCUGCCUUGUCUCAAUUGAAUGCAUUGGUCAAGGAAAAUAACAUGUUUUUUUGGCGGUGGAAGGAUAUGUUUGAGAUUAGAUUUUGGAUUGAACUUACAUACAAUAUAUCAUAUGUUCUAUUUCAAAAGGUUGCUGCUAUUUCCGGAUCAUAAGAGGUAUAGCAUGGAAAGGGAAAAUAAGACCUGUGCAGUCACAGGCUUCAUCUACAGAUUA